rnacentral:rRNA from 1 species
GGGCCCGCACAAGCGGUGGAGCAUGUGGUUUAAUUCGAUGAUACGCGAGGAACCUUACCAGGGCUUAAAUGCAGAACGACCGGCGUGGAAACAUGCCUUUCUUCGGACGGACUGCAAGGUGCUGCAUGGUCGUCGUCAGCUCGUGCCGUGAGGUGUCGGGUUAAGUCCCAUAACGAGCGCAACCCCUAUCUUUAGUUGCCAGCGGAUAAUGCCGGGGACUCUAGAGAAACUGCCAGCGUAAGCUGUGAGGAAGGUGGGGAUGACGUCAGAUCAUCACGGCCCUUACGUCCUGGGCUACACACGUGCUACAAUGGCAAGGACAAUGAGCUGCCAACCCGCGAGGGUGAG